GUGAUCAUGGCAGAGAUAGGGAAUGCACUGGCUUGUGAUGCCAGCCCAUGCGGGUUCGACCCCCGCUGAUCACACCA
rnacentral:tRNA from 1 species